rnacentral:rRNA from 1 species
UACGUAGGGGGCAAGCGUUGUCCGGAAUCAUUGGGCGUAAAGCGCGUGUAGGCGGCCCGGUAAAUCCGCUGUGAAAGUCCAGGGCUCAACCCUGGGAUGCCGGUGGAUACUGUCGGGCUCGAGUCCGGAAGAGGCGAGUGGAAUUCCUGGUGUAGCGGUGAAAUGCGCAGAUAUCAGGAGGAACACCAAUGGCGAAGGCAGCUCGCUGGGACGUGACUGACGCUGAGACGCGAAAGCGUGGGGAGCAAACAGG